rnacentral:rRNA from 1 species
UACAGAGGUCCCAAGCGUUGUUCGGAUUCACUGGGCGUAAAGGGCGCGUAGGCGGCCCGGUAAGUCAAAGGUGAAAUCCCUCGGCUCAACUGAGGAACUGCCUUUGAAACUGUCGGGCUUGAGGCCGGGAGGGGGUAGCGGAAUUCCCAGUGUAGCGGUGAAAUGCGUAGAUAUCGGGAGGAACAUCAGUGGCGAAGGCGGCCUUCUGGUCCAGUACUGACACUCAAGUGCGAAAGCGUGGAGAGCAAACAGG